rnacentral:rRNA from 1 species
AAAGCACUUUCAGUAGGGAGGAAGGUAGUGUAGUUAACACCUGCACUAUUUGACGUUACCUACACGAAGAAGCACCGGCUAACUCCGUGCCAGCAGCCGCGGUAAUACGGAGGGUGCGAGCGUUAAUCGGAAUUACUGGGCGUAAAGACGCAUGCAGGCGGCCCUGUUAAGUCAGAUGUGAAAGACCCGGGGCGUUAAACCUCGGAAAUUGCAUUUGUAAACUAGGCAGGCUAGAGUCUUGUAGAGGGGGGUAGGAAUUUCAGGUGUAGCGGUGAAAUGCGUAGAGAUCUGAAGGAAUACCAGUGGCGAAGGCGGCCCCCCUCGGACAAAGACUGACGCUCAGAUGCGAAAGCGUGGGGAGCAAACAGGAUUAGAUACCCUGGUAG